rnacentral:ncRNA from 1 species
UGCGAUGAGUCGAGAAUAUCACGCUACUAGCAAUAGUAGUUUGCGCAAGCAACUAGGUGAUUUUUUGCACAGCAGGCAAUGUAACACCGCCGGAUUUGCGGCUGCCUUGGUUCAAAGGAAAUGUGGAUUUU